rnacentral:rRNA from 1 species
AUUGAACGCUGGCGGCGUGCCUUACACAUGCAAGUCGGACGAGUGGCGGACGGGUGAGUAACGCAUCGGAAAGUACCGGGUAAUGGGGGAUAACUGUCCGAAACGACAGCUAAUACCGCAUAUUAUUCGAGCGGCCGAGGUCUGAUUAGCUGGUUGGCGGGGUAAAGGCCCACCAAGGCGACGAUCAGUAGCGGGUCUGAGAGGAUGAUCCGCCACACUGUGAGUGAGACACGGCCCAGACUCCUACGGUAGGCAGCAGUGGGGAAUUUUGCACAAUUGGCGCAAGCCUGAUCCAGCCAUGCCGCGUGUCUGAAGAAGGCCUUCGGGUUGUAAAGGACUUUUGUCAGGGAAGCGUUACCUGAAGAAUAAGCACCGGCUAACUCCGUGCCAGCAGCCGCGGUAAUUC